ensembl:lncRNA
AGUGUAUACACUGCUCAAAAAAAUAAUUAAGGGAACACAAUCACCUCAGUAUAACACCAAGUCAAUUAAACUUCACAAAUAUCAAUCUGUACAGUUAAGAAGCAUAAAUGAUUGUGAAUCAGUGUCACCUGUUUUUGGUGCAAAUUAAAGUGACAACAGGUUCACUCUAGAGGCAUCAGCAAGACAACCCCCAAAAAGAGAAGGGUUUUGCAGGUGGUGAACACAAUUGCUCUCCCUCUAUCCUUUCUGACUGAUUCUUCUCUAGUUUUGCGUUUUGCUAGUGUCCGUUUUGCAGGUAGUCACAUUAGACUACCUGCAGCCCAUUGGUUGCACAGCUAGUCCAACUCCUCCAGGAUGGCACAUCCAUAUACGUGCAGUCGCAAGAAGGUUUGCUGUGUCUCCCAGUCCAAUCUCAAGAGCAUGGAGGACAUACCAGGAGACAAGCCGUUACACAAGGAAAGCAGGACAGGGCCGUAGAAGGGCAUCAACCCAGAAGCAGGACCGGUAUCUGCUCCUUUGUGAGAGGAGGAAUAGGAGGAGCACUGCCAGAGCCCAACAAAAUGACCUCCAGCGGGCUACUGGUUUGCAUGUUUCUGACCAAACUGACCAAACAGACUCCAUGAGGGUGGCAUGAGAGCCCAACGUCCUCAAGUGGGACCUGUGCUCCCAGCCCUCCACCGUGCAGCUUGAUUGGCAGUCACCAGAGAAAACCAGAUUUGACAGGUGCGCCAAAUGUGCCCUGUUCUCUUCACAGAUUAGUGCAGGUUCACACUGAGCACAUGUGACAGAGCUGAAAGAGUCUGGAGAUGCUGUGGUGAAUGUUAUGCUGAAUGCAAUAUCAUCCAGCAUUGACCAGUUUAGCGGUGGGUCAGUGAUGGUCUUGGGAGACAUAUCAUUGGAGGGUCGCACAGACCUUCACAUGCUAGCCAACGGUACCCUGACUGCUGUUGGGUACCAGGAUGAAAUCCUCAGACCAUCGUCAGACCUUAUGCUGGUGCAGUGGGCCCUGGGUUCCUCCUGGUGCAGUAACAAUGCCCAGCCUGAGUGUGUAGGUAGUUACUGAAUGAUUAAGGCAUUGAUGCCAUUAACUGGCCCUCAAGUUCCCCAGACAUUAAUACAAUUGAGAACCUCGUUAUGUAUCAUAUAUCUGACACCGCCAAAUGGCAGCACAGACUUUCCAAGAGCUCACUGAUGCCCUGAUCCAGGUGUGGUAGGAGAUUUCCCAGGACACCAUCCACCGUCUCAUCAGGAGCAUGCCCAGACAUUGUUGGGAGUGCAUACAGGCAUGUGGGGGCCAUACACACUACUGAGACACAAUAUGAGUUGCCGUGAUGAAAUUCACGCCAGUUGGAACAGCCUGUGAUUUCAAUUGUUUACUUAGAUUUUCGGUGCGAGUUUGGAUCCUGCCCUCAGUCGGUUGGUGAUUUUGGUUUCCGUUGACCAUUGUAAUGUCAUUUUGUUCUCAAUGAAUUACACAAUGUACAGUGAAGAUUUUGAUCUUUAACAUAUUUUCCCAACAUUUUCUUGAGCAGUGUAUAUUGUUGGAUUAUCGAAAUAAACAUAUGCUUGGCUCCUGCCAACUCUCUCUGGGUGCAUUAAUUACAGUUUCUUUCAGACAAAUCGUUACUACCUGCUGUGUCCAUUUCAGUAGUGCAUCCUCCACCAUCAAUGCACUGGUGGCUGUUGCUAUGGAAGUUGAUGAUAGAAGAAAGUCUGCAACUUAUAAUGCUCCAACAAAGAAAUGUAAUAAGAUAAAACGCGCAAAUAGACAAUGUUUCAAUCCCAAACAGAUCUUUAUCUGGUCAUACAUGCCCAGUAAACCACUAGUGAUGUGAUGCUUGGCCCUCAUGGUUCCAAUCUGUUUGACACUCACUGCAUCGGAACAAUGUUCCGAAACACUCCUAGUCAUGUGACACCGGGGGUCGAAAGACCACGUGUUGUUGAAAAAAACCUGUGUAGUUCUGUCACAAACAAUUUACUGUCUCAGGUUUUGAAAACCAGGUGCAACCACGACAACAACUUUAAAUGAGUAGUGUUACUUUGUUGCAAGUUUGCCAAGUUGGUAGUAACCUUAGGAAUGUUCUACCAUCUAUGGCAGUUACUUUUUCAGUAGGCUACGCAUCGUGACUUUUACUCAACAUGUUAUUACCAAUGUCGGUGCCAAGGACACUAGUGAAUUUCAGCAGUGGCUCAGAGGGUAUUGUCAGGGACUUUCAUGUGAAUCUACAUGAGUUCAAAUCCUGGUUAAUGUUUUCCAGUUGAAACAUGACACUAUUCUUUUUUAGUUAUUUUAAUUUAUUUACUGCAUCUUAUUGCUCUGCCUUUAUCAUCCAAAUCAUUAUAAUGCAUGCAUUGUUAAAAAAAAGCAUAUGGGAAAGAAGUGAUAGCUGUUCCAGGCUUUUGUGACACAUUGUAUCAGAACAAUGUCCGUUUAUCAAUUCACGUUUUUGUCCGUUCUUGUUCUCGUGAACUCGUUUGACAUCAUCUUUUAUGGCCCAAGUACUGUUUCAAUCCAAAGAACGCAAGUUACCAAGAAAACCCAAAAUGCCCGGAUGCGCCUCUUUUAUCGAGGAUGCAUGGGCUGGUGACUUGGCCAGCGAGAACGCAUCUGAUAUCCCAGAAGUAAUUUCAAGAUGCCAGGAGCGCCAGACAAACUUCACAAAUUUUGUGACUUCCAGUCUAGCCCGAAGGUUGUAGCCAGACACCUCCUGCUCAUCUGUGCCAUCCUCUGGAUUGUCACCCUCUUCCUCAUGCUGAGGAUGGUCCUCCACCUCCAAGAUGUCAUCCUUAGAGAGACAAAGGUUGUGGAGAAUGUAGCAAGCCGCCACCACCUUGGGCACAUACCAAGGACACACUUCCAGAGCCCUCAGUAAGAUGGAUCUCCAGUGGGUUUUCAGCAUGCCAAACGUGUGCUCGAUUACGCACCUUGCCUUGGUGUGGUGGCCGUUGAACUGGGCCUCAUGGUGUAGAAAUCAUAUACAGUUACAUUAUUUGGUAGUGUUAUUUAAGACCACUACCAAGAUCUGUUUUCAUCAUAUAUAAGUCUGUCUUUAUUCAGUGUUGAAAACAAAGAGUACUUGGUAGUGAACUCAGACUUCUGGAGCCCACUGUGUGUUUGUGUGUGUUGGCAACCUUGGAUUUCAGUCCAGUAAAUAUCCGAACCAGCUACAGGGUGUUGAAACGGGGUGAUGACAGCCACAGGAUGCUGCAGGCAUGGAUAUCCACCAACUUCAGAAAAUAAUUCUGUUUGAUUUUGUUCAAUAAAGUGUUUUAGACCAUUAUUCCACAUGGUGUUGUUUAUAAAUGUUCAUAACUGAAUUGUAAACACCAUAACUCGUUGUGAAGUGGUUGAUUGCCAUUGCUAUACUGUGUAAUUUGUGGUCCAAGAUGAUUUCGACCUUUUAAAACUGUUUUGAUUCAGCCUAUGGAAUUGGAAACAAGCAGUUGCCAAUAGGAAACUCCAUUAAACCAUACUUCAGAUGGUUGGGCUUUCCAUUAAAGUUUUCAACUUAAGUAAAAUGGUUUGGUUACUGUUCCAUCACAUUGAGAAAGACUAGUGCCAACAUGAUGUAGCCUUGCCAUCCUCUGUCUCAUUCUGGCCCUCUGGAUCGGGUGCCUUUGCUCAGCGUCCUCCUAUAUAUAUAUACAUAUAUCUCUAACGGUUGUCUUGACAAUCUUUUACCAGCUGCUUUUUAACGCUGGUAGCUCGUUAGUGUGCUUGUGAAAUUCACGAGGUACCAGCGGGAAAAGGCUGAGGUAAAAUAUAGGCUAAAUAGGGAUUAGGUAGACAAAUAUAUCUAUAUAUAGAGGUACAGACACAGGAGCAUCAUAACACUUUUUACGUUAAAUAGCAUUUUAGUUAGGGUGACCACAUUUUCAAACUCCCAAACCGGGACCCUAGUGUAACCGCACGUUAACGCGCACAUGUAUGCGCUUACGCACGCAUGGUCAUCAUGCGUGAUUUUGGUUGGUGGAGCAGGGGACGCUUUGAUGAGAAUUGUUGCAUUGCUACGCAGUACUACCCAGUUGUUUGCUUGGCUUCGACUCCUAUGUGGAAACAUUACAAAAUUGUGGGGAACUUAUUGUGGUAGUGAAUAUUGGAAACCGGGGCAUUUUAGUGUUUUACAGAUAUUUGUCAUGAACAGGUGUUACGAAGAAUUCAGUGACCGUGCGAAUUCUGUGUGCCUGUCGAAAGUGCGCAUAUCGAAUAUUUAUUUCUGUCAGGGGGAGCGUGUGAUAUCUCGUGCACUUGUUGCUCCUCCUCGCACCCUACAUUGUCUUCCUUCUAAAAGGCGUCUGUUAACCUAAGCUUGUUUGCGCUGCAAUAUUAACCUUGUGAUCUUUGCGAUUCUGCAUCCAUAGAUACGUUUUUUUUAAAACAGCAGCAGAAAGCAAGUAUAUUGUGUUGUUUAACAUAUGGGUGUAGUACUGUAUUGUUGCAAUGACAAAUGCCAUGUUUGCGUUAGCUAGCACAGCCAGUCAAAGUAACUGUGAUAUAGUUUGCCAAUUCAAUGUGUUGGACUUCUCUCAAUAUUAACAAGCUACCCAUACGGAAAAUGUAUGUAUUUAAAAUAUAUUAUUUUUAUACAUUUAAUAAAUGUAUGUCAAGGUGUUCCAAUUGGAUUCCUUAAAUAUAUUUAGAAAACAUUUAUUACUAUACGAACCCGCAAAUUACCGCUAUCCUGUCGGGCGCCCUAAAUACUGCUCCAAACAAGUUAGUAGUGGUUUUACCAAGGUCGCUGCAGUACAUAAGAAUAUCUUGCUGACUGUAAGAUGAAACGCAUUUUGUAAAUGAAUUGCUAAGAUGUAUUUAAACAGCUAAAAGUGAUGUUAUCAAUAUGUCAGUAAUUAACAUUUUGAAAGUGUGGUUGUAUAUUCAGGCCUGCUGUGAAGUGAUAUCAAAUAUAACAAGCCUUACAUCAAUGUCAUUUUGGACUGUGAACAUUGUUUUAUGGAGUAUACUAAGCAUGUACACCUCAAGGUGAAAUACAAGUUUUUAUAGUUCUGUACAUUAUUAUCAUUAAAUAUCAUUAAAUAGCAAGAAUAAGCCUUAAUUGUAGCAUUUUGGGCUGUAAUCAAAUGAUCCACCAUUCUAACCCACCGUUAUAUGUAAAAAAUUUAUCCCGUUAGAGAAUGUCAGGGAAAUGUCUUAAACUGAUGUAUUCUUACUGAUUAAAGGACUGGGUCACCAUGUUUAGAUAAGAAAAGGAAUGUGGGAGAGGGGGAUCUGGUAUUUGUCUAAAGGGGCAUCCUUGACUGGUAUCAGCAGAUUAUAGGGUUACUCGUAAAUCUGUAUAACCCAUCAGUGUCUAUCUGUUGUUUGUCCAGAUGCUUUAAGUCCUCCUCAAGGGUUGAGAAGGUUACCCAGGUGGGGUAGGACAACACGUCCCUUGUGUGAAUCCUAGGAUAUGCGAUAGAACAAAGGGAAUGUGUUUUAUUGACAUAAGACAGAUGGGCAGUAUUUUACCACACCCCUUUUUCCCCUUUAAGUACUGACGAUUGUCCUGUAUUAAUUUAGCGAUUAUUCACUGUUACUCUGUAACCUGUGUACUCUCUCCUUGCAAGAAUAAAACUGUUUAUUGUGCAACUGAGUUUUCCUCUGUCUUACCUACCAUUUUCGUGAAUUGUUUGGACUUGAGAAAUUGCCAUCACAAGAACUUGAUGGGAAAUUAUUGCUUACAUUAUUAGA